ncrna:unclassified sequences AdoCbl variant RNA
AUACCGAAAUUUAGGUGGGGAACAAUGUGAAAUUCAUUGGCUGUUCCUGCAACGGUGUGAACGAAAGUUUAAGUCCGAGCGCCACCCGGUAU